rnacentral:rRNA from 1 species
AGAGUUUGAUCAUGGCUCAGGACGAACGCUGGCGGCGUGCUUAACACAUGCAAGUCGAACGAGAUCCAUUCAGUAGCAAUACUGAUGAAGAUCUAGUGGCGAACGGGUGCGUAACACGUGAGGAACUUGUCCCGGUCUCUGGGAUAACAGUUGGAAACGACUGCUAAUACCGGAUGACGUCGGAACUUCGCAUGGAGUACUGACGAAAGGGUUACUGGAUCGGGAGAGCCUCGCGGCCUAUCAGCUUGUUGGUGGGGUAAUGGCCUACCAAGGCAUCGACGGGUAGCUGGUCUGAGAGGAUGAUCAGCCACACUGGGACUGAGACACGGCCCAGACUCCUACGGGAGGCAGCAGUGGGGAAUCUUGCACAAUGGGCGAAAGCCUGAUGCAGCAACGCCGCGUGCGGGAAGAAGGCCCUCGGGUUGUAAACCGCUUUCAGAAGGAACGAAACUGACGGUACUUUCAGAAGAAGGUGCGGCCAACUACGUGCCAGCAGCCGCGGUGACACGUAGGCACCAAGCGUUGUCCGGAUUUAUUGGGCGUAAAGAGCUCGUAGGCGGUUCAGUAAGUCGGGUGUGAAAACUUUGGGCUUAACCCAAAGCGUGCAUCCGAUACUGCUGUGACUUGAGUACGGUAGGGGAGCGGGGAAUUCCUAGUGUAGCGGUGAAAUGCGCAGAUAUUAGGAGGAACACCGGUGGCGAAGGCGCCGCUCUGGGCCGAAACUGACGCUGAGGAGCGAAAGCAUGGGUAGCAAACAGGAUUAGAUACCCUAGUAGUCC